rnacentral:rRNA from 1 species
GACGAACGCUGGCGGCGCGCCUAACACAUGCAAGUCGAACGAGAGAGAGGGAGCUUGCUUCCUUGAUCGAGUGGCGAACGGGUGAGUAACGCGUGAGGAACCUGCCUCAAAGAGGGGGACAACAGUUGGAAACGACUGCUAAUACCGCAUAAGCCCACGACCCGGCAUCGGGAAGAGGGAAAAGGAGCAAUCCGCUUUGAGAUGGCCUCGCGUCCGAUUAGCUAGUUGGUGAGGUAACGGCCCACCAAGGCGACGAUCGGUAGCCGGACUGAGAGGUUGAACGGCCACAUUGGGACUGAGACACGGCCCAGACUCCUACGGGAGGCAGCAGUGGGGAAUAUUGCACAAUGGGGGAAACCCUGAUGCAGCGACGCCGCGUGGAGGAAGAAGGUCUUCGGAUUGUAAACUCCUGUUGUUGAGGAAGAUAAUGACGGUACUCAACAAGGAAGUGACGGCUAACUACGUGCCAGCAGCCGCGGUAAAACGUAGGUCACAAGCGUUGUCCGGAAUUACUGGGUGUAAAGGGAGCGCAGGCGGGAAGACAAGUUGGAAGUGAAAUCCAUGGGCUCAACCCAUGAACUGCUUUCAAAACUGUUUUUCUUGAGUAGUGCAGAGGUAGGCGGAAUUCCCGGUGUAGCGGUGGAAUGCGUAGAUAUCGGGAGGAACACCAGUGGCGAAGGCGGCCUACUGGGCACCAACUGACGCUGAGGCUCGAAAGUGUGGGCAGCAAACAGGAUUAGAUACCCUGGUAGUCCACACCGUAAACGAUGAUUACUAGGUGUUGGGAGGUUGACCCUUCAGUGCCGCAGUUAACACAAUAAGUAAUCCACCUGGGGAGUACGACCGCAAGGUUGAAACUCAAAGGAAUUGACGGGGGCCCGCACAAGCAGUGGAGUAUGUGGUUUAAUUCGACGCAACGCGAAGAACCUUACCAAGUCUUGACAUCCUCUGACGAACGUAGAAAUACGUUCUCUCUUCGGAGCAGAGAGACAGGUGGUGCAUGGUUGUCGUCAGCUCGUGUCGUGAGAUGUUGGGUUAAGUCCCGCAACGAGCGCAACCCUUAUGGUCAGUUACUACGCAAGAGGACUCUGGCCAGACUGCCGUUGACAAAACGGAGGAAGGUGGGGAUGACGUCAAAUCAUCAUGCCCUUUAUGACUUGGGCUACACACGUACUACAAUGGCGUUAAACAAAGAGAAGCAAGACCGCGAGGUGGAGCAAAACUCAGAAACAACGUCCCAGUUCGGACUGCAGGCUGCAAACUCGCCUGCACGAAGUCGGAAUUGCUAGUAAUCGUGGAUCAGCAUGCCACGGUGAAAUACGUUCCCGGGCCU